rnacentral:rRNA from 1 species
AACGCGAAGAACCUUACCUGGCCUUGACAUCCCGAUGACCGGCGUGUAAUGACGCCUUUUCUUCGGAACAUUGGAGACAGGUGGUGCAUGGUUGUCGUCAGCUCGUGUCGUGAGAUGUUGGGUUAAGUCCCGCAACGAGCGCAACCCUUAUCUUCAGUAGCCAGCAAUUCGGUUGGGCACUCUGGAGAGACUGCCAGGGAGAACCUGGAGGAAGGUGGGGAUGACGUCAAAUCAUCAUGCCCCUUAUGGCCAGGGCUACACACGUGCUACAAUGGCGUAAACAAAGGGAAGCGAGCAUGUGAGUGUGAGCAAAUCUCAAAAAUAACGUCUCAGUUCGGAUUGUAGUCUGCAACUCGACUACAUGAAGCUGGAAUCGCUAGUAAUCGCGGAUCAGCAUGCCGCGGUGAAUACGUUCCCGGGUCUUGUACACACC